UCCCCGGUAGCUCAGUGUUAGAGCUCCUGAAGUGAGUGAAAGCGCCUAGCAAUAACUAUAAGGAGGUUGCAGGUUCGAAUCUAGCCCGGUGGC